CGAGAGGGCGAGCCAAGUCGUGAGGCGGAGCUAAUCCCUUAAAGCCAUUCUCAGUUCGGAUUGUAGGCUGAAACUCGCCUACAUGAAGCUGGAGUUACUAGUAAUCGCAGAUCAGAAUGCUGCGGUGAAUGCGUUCCCGGGUCUUGUACACACCGCCCGUCACACCACGGAAGUUGGGGGCGCCCGAAGCCACUUAGCUAACCCUUUUGGGAAGCGAGUGUCGAAGGUGAAAUCAAUAACUGGGGUGAAGUCGUAACAAGGUACC
rnacentral:rRNA from 1 species